AUUGAACGCUGGCGGCAUGCCUUACACAUGCAAGUCGAACGGAAGCACGGGUGCUUGCACCUGGUGGCGAGUGGCGAACGGGUGAGUAAUACAUCGGAACAUGUCCUGUAGUGGGGGAUAGCCCGGCGAAAGCCGGAUUAAUACCGCAUACGAUCUACGGAUGAAAGCGGGGGACCUUCGGGCCUCGCGCUAUAGGGUUGGCCGAUGGCUGAUUAGCUAGUUGGUGGGGUAAAGGCCUACCAAGGCGACGAUCAGUAGCUGGUCUGAGAGGACGACCAGCCACACUGGGACUGAGACACGGCCCAGACUCCUACGGGAGGCAGCAGUGGGGAAUUUUGGACAAUGGGCGAAAGCCUGAUCCAGCAAUGCCGCGUGUGUGAAGAAGGCCUUCGGGUUGUAAAGCACUUUUGUCCGGAAAGAAAUCCUUGGCCCUAAUACGGUCGGGGGAUGACGGUACCGGAAGAAUAAGCACCGGCUAACUACGUG
rnacentral:rRNA from 1 species